rnacentral:rRNA from 1 species
UUAACCGUAUAGGGGAGCCGGAGGGAAACCGAGUCUUAACUGGGCGUUAAGUUGCAGGGUAUAGACCCGAAACCCGGUGAUCUAGCCAUGGGCAGGUUGAAGGUUGGGUAACACUAACUGGAGGACCGAACCGACUAAUGUUGAAAAAUUAGCGGAUGACUUGUGGCUGGGGGUGAAAGGCCAAUCAAACCGGGAGAUAGCUGGUUCUCCCCGAAAGCUAUUUAGGUAGCGCCUCGUGAACUCAUCUUCGGGGGUAGAGCACUGUUUCGGCUAGGGGGUCAUCCCGACUUACCAACCCGAUGCAAACUGCGAAUACCGAAGAAUGUUAUCACGGGAGACACACGGCGGGUGCUAACGUCCGUCGUGAAGAGGGAAACAACCCAGACCGCCAGCUAAGGUCCCAAAGUCAUGGUUAAGUGGGAAACGAUGUGGGAAGGCCCAGACAGCCAGGAUGUUGGCUUAGAAGCAGCCAUCAUUUAAAGAAAGCGUAAUAGCUCACUGGUCGAGUCGGCCUGCGCGGAAGAUGUAACGGGGCUAAACCAUGCACCGAAGCUGCGGCAGCGACGCUGAUGCGUUGUUGGGUAGGGGAGCGUUCUGUAAGCCUGUGAAGGUGGCCUGUGAGGGUUGCUGGAGGUAUCAGAAGUGCGAAUGCUGACAUAAGUAACGAUAAAGCGGGUGAAAAGCCCGCUCGCCGGAAGACCAAGGGUUCCUGUCCAACGUUAAUCGGGGCAGGGUGAGUCGACCCCUAAGGCGAGGCCGAAAGGCGUAGUCGAUGGGAAACGGGUUAAUAUUCCCGUACUUGGUGUUACUGCGAAGGGGGGACGGAGAAGGCUAUGUUGGCCGGGCGACGGUUGUCCCGGUUUAAGCGUGUAGGCUGGUUUUCCAGGCAAAUCCGGAAAAUCAAGGCUGAGGCGUGAUGACGAGGC